rnacentral:tRNA from 1 species
GGUAGCAUAGCCAAGCGGUAAGGCAUAGGUCUGCAAAACCUUGAUCCCCGGUUCAAAUCCGGGUGCUACCUCCA